AGGUCACGAGGUCGUCCAUUCCCCGCGCAGCCCACGCCAAGCCGCUGCUUACCCGGAGCCGGAGCGGACUCUUCUCUUCUAGAGACGGGUCAACUCUGCGGCGGCGGGGCGCAGAGGGGAGGAGCUUCCUCUCUCCGACCUGGCCCUCCCAGGCGCUACCAGCCACCCGAGCCUGCCUGUCGGAGCUCCUCCCUCCCCAGACUUCUCAGGCGACGUCAGCGGCGGAUGCCGAGGCGUGGAUGAGGGCCCCUGGCCCGCGAUCCUCCCAGCAAGGCUCCCGCCUCGGCCUGAGGCCCGAGAUCUCCGCUUUGUGGUGCCCAGACGACGUGUGCCACACCGGCGGGGCUCGGGCGGGGGCUUGGGAGUGGGGAAGUGAGCCAGGGGCGCUCAAUUUGUCUUCUCUCCCCCCAACCCGCUAGGUUGGAAAGGUUUUCUUUUGGGGAAAUUUCCUCUCCGCAGCCUCACACCCAGUCAGCGGACCCUCCCAUCCAGGAGGAAUCUCCUCUGGUCCCAUCGGCGCGUCUUCCGGGAGUCGCCAAACACCGGAGGUAGCAGGGUGGGUGUGGCAGCUGCCGUUUCCUGACUCCGCGCCUGCGCGGAAAGCCCUUUGAGGGAGUGCGGUCGUGAUUUACUAGGGCUCCGCACUUCUCAGCCCGACAGAGAUUGAAAAGUAACCUUGAGAGAGUCCCUCCCUUGAUUCCAGGGAAAGUUACUAGAGGAUGUGCUCCAACAAAACAUGAGAGCAAGACAAGAAAGAGAAAGACUUGGGAUCCAGAAAAAAGGACCAGGAGAAUGUGAAGGGAAAUGCCAGGGUGAAAGAUAUGUGGCAGAAUUAGAGAGCAAUCGUUUUCACUGGAGAAGGAAGAUGGCAGACUCCAAGAAGGAAGACUGAUGAUGGAUAUACCAUAAUUUACCCCUCAUUGGUGGACACUUAGCUGGUUUCCACAUAUUUACUCUUACAAAUUAUGCUGCAAUAAGUAAUCGUUACAUAUGUCAUUUCAUACAUGUGCAAGUGUAUCCAUAUAUAUGUCCUAGAAGCUGAAUUGCUGGACAAAAGAGUUAUGUUCAUUUGUAAUUUUGGUUUGUACUGUUGAAUUGAUCUUCACUGAGGUUCUUCCAAUUUUUUUUUUCUGCAGACAAAUGAGAGUGCUGUUUCUCCACACACCUUCUUUCAUUUCUUUUCGAGAUAGAUAGUAUAAUGUUGAUCUGCUGAUUCCUGGAUUUCAGUGCUUCUAAACUCAUUUAAAUGCUAAGAUUCUUUUUAUUGCAGCCCUUCUAAAUAUCUGGCUUCAAUUUGUUUAUCACAACCUCAAACCUUUAGCUUUCAUGAUAGUUUCACCAUUAUACAGCUUAAAAUAUAUGUAUUCUUAGUGAUAUGUACAUUGUUUAAUUAAUGCCCAUAAUGAAUGGCUAAUGACAGAAAACCUAAAGAAUACUGAUGCUAAACUACAUCAACUAAAUGAGAAACAAAAAAAUGAGAAAAAUUAUGCAAAUUAGGCUAAAAAACAAGCCUCAACACCUGUAUGUUGAAUUCAUCUAUUCAAAAUUCUGUAGAAUCAUAUUAAGUCAUAUUUUCCAUUUACUGAGAAUAAAGGUUAUUUAUAUCUGCAUGUGCUAUUUUAGGGACAUGGUAGCUUCAAAUGGCAUGCUUGAAAUCUCUCAUAGUCUGUUUUUUGUUUUGUUUGUUUGUUUUUUUAAGCUUCAAUGCCUUUUAUUCCUGUAAGUGCUAUUUAUUUAUUUUUCUAAUUUUAUUUUUUAAAUUAAUUUUUAUUGUAGUUGCUUUACAAUGUUGUGUUAGUUUCUACUGUACAGCAAAGUGAAUCAGCUAUAUGUAUACAUAUAAUGUCCAUCGACAGAGGAAUGGAUAAAGAUGUGGUAUAUAUAUACAAUGGAAUAUUAUUCAGCCAUAAAAAGGAAUGAAAUUGGGUCAUUUGUAGAGAUGUGGAUGGAGCCAGAGACUGUCAUAAAGAGUGAAGUAAGUCAGAAAGAGAAAAACAAAUAUCAUAUAUUAACGUUUAUAUGUGGAAUCUAGAAAAAUGGUAUAGAUGAUCUUAUUUGCAAAGCAGAAAUAGAGACACAGACGUACAGAACAAACGUAUGGACACCAAGGGACGAAGUGGGGGGGUGGGGUGAAUUGGGAGAUUGGGAUUGACAUAUAUACACUAUUGAUACUAUGUAUAAAAUAGAUAACUAAUGAGAAUCUACUGUAUAUAGCUCAAGGAACUCUACUCAAUGCUCUGUGGUGACCUAAAUGGGAAGGAAAUCCAAAAAAAGAGGGGAUAUAUCUCAUAGUCUUUUAAAUUAGAAACAAGACAGAAAAGUUGAAAAAUAAACUACUUAAAAAAGUACAAAUGCAAGAAUUAAAAACAUCUCAUAUUCUAUUUUUUUCUAUUUUUUGGUCUAAAAGCAUCUGGUAACCAUUGGGGGAAAAUGGGUGAAGGAUAUGUGGGACUGCUCUGUAUUAUUUUUACAACUUCCUGUGAGUCUAUUAUUAUGUCCAAAUAAAAAGUUUUAAAAGGUUGU